rnacentral:piRNA from 1 species
UCUUCAAAGGCCCAACGACCCCUGUGUUGC